rnacentral:rRNA from 1 species
UAGCCACGGUAAUACCAGCUCCGCGAGUGGUCGGGGACUAUUACUGGGCCUAAAAGCGCCCGUAGCCGGCCCCGGUAAGUCAUCCCCUUAAAAGACCCCGGCUCAACCGGGGGAAUGGGGGGUGAUACUACCGGGCUAGGGGGCGGGAGAGGCCAGCGGUACUCCCGGAGUAGGGGCGAAAUCCUCAGAUCCUGGGAGGACCACCAGUGGCGAAAGC